AACGACGAAAACCUUACCCACCUUUGACAUGGCAGGAAUCCCGAAGAGAUUUGGGAGUGCUCGAAAGAGAACCUGCACACAGGUGCUGCAUGGCUGUCGUCAGCUCGUGUCGUGAGAUGUUGGGUUAAGUCCCGCAACGAGCGCAACCCUUGCCAUUAGUUGCUACGAAAGGGCACUCUAAUGGGACUGCCGGUGACAAACCGGAGGAAGGUGGGGAUGACGUCAAGUCCUCAUGGCCCUUAUAGGUGGGGCUACACACGUCAUACAAUGGCCGGUACAGAGGGUAGCCAACCCGCGAGGGGGAGCCAAUCCCACAAAGCCGGUCGUAGUCCGGAUCGCAGUCUGCAACUCGACUGCGUGAAGUCGGAAUCGCUAGUAAUCGCGGAUCAGCAUGUCGCGGUGAAUACGUUCCCGGGUCUU
rnacentral:rRNA from 1 species